GACAUUUCAAAAUAGAAUGGCUCUGAAUAUGAUUCUAGCAGAAAAGGGGGGCGUAUGUAAAAUCCUCCCCGAGACUAUGAUCUGCUGCACAUUUAUUCCAGAUAAUACUGGACCCAAUGGAAAAGUAACUUUGGCCAUAGGAAAACUGGACAGCCUUUCAGAUGAACUAAGACGCAACUCAGGGGUCACUAACGUGUGGGAUAGGUGGUUUGGAUGGA